AUGGUCACUCGUACCCGUGAUGCUACUCGUCGUGACAAGGAGUUUACUGAUGGGACGGUGCGGUAUAAUCCUCUUCGUCGCGCUUUCUUUGCGACACCGGUGUCACAUCCUGAUGCUCUCCAUGAGCCGGUGUGGCGUGCUGCUAUGGCUGCUGAGUUUGCAGCGCUUCGUCAAAACGGCACUUGGGUCUUGGUUCCUCGACCACCUGGCGUUAACAUUGUUGGCAGUAAGUGGGUUUUCAAAACGAAGCAACAUGUCGAUGGGUCUGUUGACAAACACAAGGCUCGCCUCGUCGCUCGUGGUUUUACUCAACAGCACGGUCUUGACUAUGGUGAUACCUUCAGCCCCGUGGUAAAGCCGACUACUAUCCGUUUGGUUCUUUCGCUUGCUGUUUCGCGCGGAUGGAGCUUGAGGAAGAUUGAUGUUAGCAAUGCAUUUCUUCAUGGCCUUCUUUCCGAGAUUGUUUAUAUGCAGCAACCACCAGGUUUUGAAGAUGCCCGGUUCCCUUUGCAUGUGUGCAAGUUGCAACGAGCUCUUUAUGGUCUCAAACAGUCGCCACGUGCUUGGUAUGCUCGUCUCAGUGCUCGCCUUCUUCAGCUUGGUUUUGUUGCUUCAAAGGCGGACGCCUCUCUAUUCAUCUUUGCUGCGCAUGGUGUUCAGAUAUACAUGCUUGUGUAUGUUGAUGAUAUUGUGAUUGCUGGCUCCACUCCGGCUGCAGUUGAUCGUUUGGUGCGAUCCAUCUCCGACAGUUUUCCUAUCAAGGAUCUUGGUCCUCUACAUUAUUUCUUGGGGCUUGAAGCGUCCUUCAAUUCAGGGGGCAUGACGCUGACUCAAAGAAAGUAUGCACUUGAUCUUCUUCAUCGUGUGAGUAUGGAGAAUUGUAGGCCUACCUCUACACCAUUAUCUGCCACCGAGCACCUGGCUCGUGAGGUCGGCACCCCUUUGGGUGUUGAGGAUGCCACUCGAUAUCGCAGCAUUGUUGGAGGACUUCAAUAUUUAACGCUCACUCGUCCCGACCUGUCCUUUGCAGUCAACAAGGUUUGCCAGUAUCUAUCACAACCAACUAAUGAGCAUUGGGAAGCUGUCAAGGAUAUAUUGCGUUAUGUCAAAGGGACUUUGAGUACGGGAUUGCAGAUUCGUAAAUCUCCUUUCACUGGUGUCAGUAUUUUCACGGAUGCUGAUCGGGCUGGAUGCAUUGAUGACCACCGUUCCACUAGUGGUUUUGCUGUGUUUGUUGGCUCCAAUCUUGUCUCAUGGAGUUCCAAGAAACAGCCAACUGUCUCCAGAUCAAGUACGGAGGCAGAGUACAAAGCUUUAGCUAAUGGAGCAGCUGAAGCAAUCUGGGUGGAGAUCUUACUCAAGGAGCUCGGGGUUUUCAAGCAGCGUACCGCCAUUCUGUGGUGUGAUAAUCUUAGGGCUACAUACCUGACGGCAAACCCAGUCUUUCACGCAAGAACCAAGCGCAUAGAGAUAGAUUUUCAUUUUGUGCGUGAGCGCGUUGCUUCUGGUGUUUUAGAUGUCAGGUUUAUCUCGACUAAUGACCAACUGGCUGAUGUAUUUACUAAACCGGCCACACGACAGAUGUUAGAACGUUUCCGGUCCAAUCUGAACCUUGUAUGUAGUAGUGGUUCAGAUUGA
rnacentral:rRNA from 1 species